GCGGCGGACGGGUGAGUAACACGUGGGUAACCUGCCCAUAAGACUGGGAUAACUCCGGGAAACCGGGGCUAAUACCGGAUAACAUUUUGAACUGCAUGGUUCGAAAUUGAAAGGCGGCUUCGGCUGUCACUUAUGGAUGGACCCGCGUCGCAUUAGCUAGUUGGUGAGGUAACGGCUCACCAAGGCAACGAUGCGUAGCCGACCUGAGAGGGUGAUCGGCCACACUGGGACUGAGACACGGCCCAGACUCCUACGGGAGGCAGCAGUAGGGAAUCUUCCGCAAUGGACGAAAGUCUGACGGAGCAACGCCGCGUGAGUGAUGAAGGCUUUCGGGUCGUAAAACUCUGUUGUUAGGGAAGAACAAGUGCUAGUUGAAUAAGCUGGCACCUUGACGGUACCUAACCAGAAAGCCACGGCUAACUACGUGCCAGCAGCCGCGGUAAUACGUAGGUGGCAAGCGUUAUCCGGAAUUAUUGGGCGUAAAGCGCGCGCAGGUGGUUUCUUAAGUCUGAUGUGAAAGCCCACGGCUCAACCGUGAGGGUCAUUGAACUGGGAGACUUGAUGCAGAAGAGAAGUG
rnacentral:rRNA from 1 species